GACUGCGGAGGAUCAUUAAAAAAUAAUCACAGUUUUGUGAUUCUAAUAAUCAUCCUACCCUUUGUGAAUUUGUUUUGUAAAGAAAUUUAUGUUGUCUAACCCUUGGAUUAUUUGGAAAAGUUGAAAGACUUUUUCAUUUACCAAGGGAAUAGGCUUUCAUAGACAUUUUUUUAAAUUAAACAUUUGUAUUCAUUUGUCUAAAUUUAUUUUUAAUAAUUUAAAAACAACUUUUGACAAUGGAUCUCUUGGUUCUCGCAACGAUGAAGAACGCAGCAAAAUGCGAUAAGUAAUGUGAAUUGCAGAAUACGUGAAUCAUCAAAUCUUCGAACGCAUAUUGCACUUUUCUAGUUUAUUAGAAAAGUAUGUCUGUUUGAGUAUCAGUAAAAUAUUCUCAUAAAAAACAUUGUUUUUUAUGGUUAUGAGUGUUUUACAACGAUAAACAAGUUGUUUCACUUUAAAUUGAUUUUUAAAAGCCAAUUUUGGUUUUAUCUAAUAAAAUUGGAUAAAAUUUUCCCGUAAAAGGGAAUAAACUUUUCAGUUUUAAAGGGUAAAACUAGUUGUGCCUAAUUAAAAGGAAAUUUAACCAAAAUAACUUGAUCUCAAAUCAGAUAAGAGUACCCGCUGAACUUAAGCAUAUCAAUAAGCGGAGGA
rnacentral:rRNA from 1 species